rnacentral:rRNA from 1 species
CAGUCGCCGCGGUAAUACGUAGGUGGCAAGCGUUGUCCGGAAUUAUUGGGCGUAAAGCGAGCGCAGGCGGUUUGAUAAGUCUGAAGUUAAAGGCUGUGGCUUAACCAUAGUUCGCUUUGGAAACUGUCAAACUUGAGUGCAGAAGGGGAGAGUGGAAUUCCAUGUGUAGCGGUGAAAUGCGUAGAUAUAUGGAGGAACACCGGUGGCGAAAGCGGCUCUCUGGUCUGUAACUGACGCUGAGGCUCGAAAGCGUGGGGAGCGAACAGGAUUAGAGACCCCAGUAGUCCCUGUCUCUUAUACC